GAGCCGGUCUUGCGCAAUGGAUGCCCGCGAACCAUGUCAGGCGGGGAACCGAGCAGCAUUAAGCGGGAUCGUUUCAUGUGCCGUGAGGGCGCCGGCUCCGC
rnacentral:SRP_RNA from 1 species